GUCCUAUGCUAGACUGUAAACCACAGUCCCUUAAUUCAGAUGACCUCAAGGCUUGACCAGAGAGUACUCAGCUGCUUCUUCUGGUUACCUUUUCAUGCUGGCUUGUCCUUAAUAUAGUUAAUGCUCCCCAGAUGUAUCAACUGCCUGUUCUUUUUAACCCUUGCUGGUCUCACAUGCAGCUCUGGCUGCUUUUCUCAGACACAGGGGAAAAUAAAAUAUAAUAAACUUCCCAUGUGACAUCAUCCAGCUUCAACAAAAUGAUUUGUAUACCCUUUCCCAUAUCCACCUUCCCAAAUUAUUUUGAGGGCAAAUUCCAGGCAGCAGUUUAUUUUGUGAAUGAACAUUUCAGUAUGUAACUCUAAAGGAAAAUGAUUAUUUUUCUUUUUAUAUAACACAAUGUCAUGAUUGCAUUUUUUAAAAUUAAUAAUUCCUGAAUAUCAUCAAAUUUUAAGUCAUUGUUCAACUUCCUAAUUAUCUCUUUAGUGUCACACAUUUUUCUAGUUUGAAUCAGGAUCCAAACAAGGUCCACAUGUAAUUAUUGGUUAAUAUAUUCCUUUUAAAUUUCUUUUCACCUUUUGGUUCUGCCCCCAUCUUUUUUUUCUCUGUAAUUUACUUGCUGAAGAAAUGUGAUUGUUUGCACUGUAGGAUUUUGCUGAUUACAUCCCCAUAGUAUAGUUUUCAAGUACUGCUUUCCUCUGAAUUUUUUUGUAAAUUAGUCAUUAAAUCUGAAGGAUUGACCAGAUUCUGGCUUGAUUUUCUGAGAAGACUUUAUUUAUUUAUUUUUUAAGGCACUGCUUUGUUCUUCCAUUAGGGAACAUCUAAUUUCUGGUUAUCUUUUUCUUUUUGAUAUUAGCAAAAACUCAAUACCUAGAUCCAUUACUUAGGUUACAAGAGAGUGAUAGUCCAAUUCUAUGAUCUCUUUUUCAUUUAUUUGCUGAAGUACCACAGUAAAGAAAAUCUUACCCCUACUUCUUUUUAACUACCCAGUUGCUCUUUAUGAGUUUUCAAAAUAAUGAGUUGGUUCACUAGUGUCUUUCAAUUGCUGACCAAUUUUUUUUAAGUAUCAUUAGGAACUCGUAGAUUUAAACUUCUUUGAUAUAUUUCAAUCUAUUAAAGUUUUUUUCCCUCAUUGAUCUUCUUACUGUCUUGUCUUUGUCAGUCUCUGCUAGUUGAUUUCCAAAUCUUUGACUUAAAUCUAGUAAUCUUUGCUAGCUUCCUUAUUAUCUGAUGUGACAAGAGUUUUACAAUAUGAUCUGUAUGUUUCCUGUCCUCAACUCACAAUUAGUCAUUUCUCCAAGGAGUUCUGUAUCCUUUCAGAAGGAAAUUAGAUUUCAACACCAAAUUCAAGGUGCUGGAAGUACUCAUUGCUACUGGAUGCAUAAGUAUUUAUGGGACUUAGUUGAAAAAAAAAAGUUUUUUUUUCAAGCUGAAAAUAUCAUUGCUUUAUAUUGAUACUUCACAUUCAGGAUUAAAAUGUAUUUAUUCGGUCUCCUUUCUGACAUCCAUUUUUUCUUUCUUUCUGGCCAAAAAAACUUGCUUGUGAAAGACAUUGGAUAAUAGGAUUAUAAUAUCACAGAAUUAUAUUUUAUACACAGUUUUUAAUUGCAAUACCAUCACUACCAAAACAAUUACUGAAAAUUGUUUUAGUUUUUCCAGCAAUUUUUGUCCUUAGAGCAUAUACUGUUAUGGAAGUAUAGCCAAAAACUGCCUUUUAAGUUACUUUGACUAGUUUCUGUGUGAUUAUGCCAGCAACUAGUUACCCAUUUAGAUGCAUUUAUCUCAUUUUAAUUUCAGUUUUAGAGAUUAUGUACUAUAUAUUUCUUUCCUUAUUGCCAUAUUACUACAUGGUAAUUCUUAUCACCAGUCCUUAAAUUGAUAUAUCUUCAGUCAUUUAAGUUAUCUAAAGAUUAUUCUCUAGUAGCUACCUCAGGAAUUACUCAUGGGAUAUUAAAAAGAGUUUAACUUUAUAUUUGGAAAACGCUUCAUCUGAAUAUAAAAUACUUGGUUCAAAUUUUAUUUUUUGAUUUAUCCCAGAGGCAUAAAAUUUUGCUAUUGAAAAUUCUUAACAAUUUGAUUUUUCUUUCGCUUACAGGUGACUUUGACUUGUGUAGAUGUCAAAAGAAUUUACUCACUUUCUUGAAUGAACAAUAAUUUCGUUAGAUUUUUCUCAGUGUUCUCAGCCUAUUUUCCCAGGUGUAUAUAAUAUAUAGUAUGCCUUUUCACAUGUACUUUCAGAAUAUCUAUCUAUCUAUAUCCUUAAUUUUAGGAAAGUUUUCUUUAAUUAUUGACUUUUAAAAUAUCUCUUUUGUUUUCUUCAUUGGAGACUUUUUAUAUAGGUGUUGUUUCUUCUUUUCCCUGUUUUGUUUUGUUUUGUUUUUUUAGGGCUGCAGGUGCAGCACAUGGAAGUUCCAGGGCUAAGAAUCAAAUCAGAGCUGCAGCUGCCAGCCACAGCCACAGCAAUAGCAGGUCCAAGCCACAUCUGCGACCUACACCACUGCUCGCAGCAACACCAGAUCCUUGCCCACUGAGUGGGGCCAGGGAUCAAACCCACUUCCUCAUGGAUACUAGUUAGGUUCAUUUCCACUGAGCCACAACUGGAACUCCUGUUUCUUCUUUUUCUAUCUUCUGUUAGGCUAGAUGUAGCAGAGAUUUCCAGAGGGCUGAUAUCUGAAUUGCACCUAUAAAAGGCCCAACUUGGAGGGAGAAGUAAAAUUUUAGAGAACGUAGUCUAAGAAUAGAAGUGUUUAACAACCAGGCAAGUUGAACGCAUAUCCUCUAUGAUUCAAACAACGAAUAGGCUGCCUAUUUCCCACUAAUCUUAUGUUCUCUUAUUUUAUUAAGUGACCAAAAAAAAAUAAGAAAUUACUUGAAAUUUACAAUCCAAUUUGAGAUUAUGCAUUUUCCAAGGUAAAGUUUACAAAACAGUCCCAGGAAAAACUACUUAUGAUUUUUUGCUAGCCAAAAUUUUGUUUUCCCUAAGAGCUAUGUUUCAUUUUCUUGAUGAAAGUCAUCAUAAGUAGGGCUUCUAUUUCCCCCUGGCUACUAAGAAUCUGAGACAAAUUGUACUCAGUCUUGCAAUAAUAAACAUAAUUAUGCAGAGAUCCUUAUUGUAUGCAUGUAUUCUUUAACUUGGUCCCAACUUUUACUUCAAAAGUUUUAAACUUUGGUAUCAAAGUACAAGCUUGCAGAGAAAUUGCAGAGAAAUUAAUACAAAUUUAAUUUGAAUGUGCUUUUUUUUCUGGGAUAGUCUGGACACUUCAUCAGAUUGAUUCUAAAAGGCUAUCUAUGAUGUUAAAAAUACUACUGUUCUUAUAUUAAUUAUUUCAUUUUAUUUACAAAACAGAAGCUUCUGUUCUAGUUUAAUUUUAAAACCUCAGUGACAUAUAAAGAUGAAUGAUUUGGAGUACCCCCUGUGGUGCAGUACAUUAAGGAUCUGGUGUUGUCUCUGCAGUGGCACAGGUUCGAUCACCAGCUCAGUGCAAUAGGUUAAAGAUCCUGCAUUGCCACAACUUUGGCAUAGUUUGCAGCUGUGGCUCAGAUUCGACCCCUGGCCAAGGAACUUCCAUAUGCCAUGGGUGCCAUUCCCCCCAAAAAAUGAAUUGUUUACUUUUGGAAUCAUACUAAGCUUUUUUUUUUUUAAUGUUGACAAAAUAUAAUUAGUAAUGAACUAACAAAUUUACAGUGCAGACCCCAAUCACAGGAAAGUCAGGUCAUGCCAUUUACAAAGGGGGAAAAAAAGCCUUUUUUAAAAAAAAAAUUAUCAACUGGGUUCACUAACUUGAAAGAAGGCUGGCAUAGCAUAUGAUCAUUCUAAAUAGCUUCCUCUUUAAAAUAGGUUGUGACACAAACUGCUUCAAUAAAGUCACUUAUUUUUACAUAAGCUAGUUUCACUUUCUUCUUUAAGUUUCUAUUCCUCCUACCAUUGUGUUUUCUUGGAUUUACGUGGGUACAUAUCUUGCAGUCUUUUGGUGUACAUUUAUCAAAUGGUCAUAGGCUUGUUACCAUACAUCAGAUGCCUCUGAAGAAAUGCUUCCAUCUGCUUAACCAGGAAUUAAGUUUUGUGAAUAGUUCCCUGCUUGAUGCAUAAACACAAGAUAUUGUAAGAUAAGAGUGUGUUAUAUAAUUAAAAAUAAUACUAAAAUUUUAUUAAUAUAUCUAUUUCAGUAGAGUGAAAAGGUAUAACCCUGCAUGGAGCAUUUGUUAAAUCAAAGGUGACCAAACUUGGGAAGAAAAAAUUAAGCUUAUAUUUGGGAAUCUAAAGUAUCUCAAUUAAAUGUGUAAUUGAAUAGAAUCACUUAUUUAGAAUGCAUUCAUUUU
rnacentral:lncRNA from 1 species